UACGGGGGGGUGCGAGCGUUGUCCGGAAUCACUGGGCGUAAAGGGCGCGUAGGUGGUCUGAUAAGGGUGUGGUGAAAGUCCGGGGGCUCAACCCCCGGAUCUGCCGUGCCGACUGUCAGACUCGAGGACUGUAGAGGCAGGCGGAAUUCCGGGUGUAGCGGUGAAAUGCGUAGAUAUCAGGAGGAACACCUGUGGCGAAAGCGGCUCACUGGACCACAACUGACGCUGAGGCGCGAAAAGCUAGGGGGAGCAAACAGG
rnacentral:rRNA from 1 species